rnacentral:rRNA from 1 species
GUUAAAAAGCUCGUAGUUGGAUUUCUGUGAGAGUAUGAUGUCCUAACGUGUUUAGAGCGCAGAAAACUCUUGCAUCCUUCUGUUACCUCCACGUGGCAUUCGCUUGCCAGUGGUUGGCUCAGAGAAUUUACCUUGAGAAAAUAGAGUGUUUCAGGCAGGCUUAGUCGGAAUACAUUAGCAUGGAAUAAUAGAAUAGGACUCCGGUCUCGUUGUUGGUUUGAGGGACUGUAGUAAUGAUUAAUAGGGAUAGUUGGGGGCAUUAGUAUUCGGUUGUCAGAGGUGAAAUUCUCAGAUUUAUUGAAGACUAACUUAUGCGAAAGCAUUUGCCAAGGAUGUUUUCAUUAAUCAAGAACGAAAGUUAGGGGAUCAAAGACGAUCAGAUACCGUCCUAGUCUUAACCAUAAACUAUGCCGACUCGGGAUUGGGGGCGUGUUAUUAUCCGCCUUCAGCACCGUAUGAGAAAUCAAAAGUCUUUGGGGUUCUGGGGGGGAGUAUGGUCGCAAGGUUGAAACUUAAAGGAAUUGACGGAAGGGCACCACCAGGCGUGGAGCUUG